rnacentral:lncRNA from 1 species
CUGAAAAGGAGAUAUUUGGAAUCAUGGGCCAUCCUUCCUUUUUUAGCGGCAGCGGGAAGCUUGUAUCUUUUCUACAGAAAGAAAAAGCACUCCACCCUAUCUGGUGCUGCACAGCUUCCUGUGCUGACAGGAGGGCAAGAGCAGGAGCAGAGACUCGAGGUGGAAGAGCUUCAUGGGAGAGAUGAACCCACCAGGGAAGCAGCUGAGGAAAACUCAUCAUUGAAUUCUGCUGAAUGGGCUGUGUCUAUGCUUUAUGAAUCACUUGAAAUUUUAUGCAAUGAAUCAGGAGGAAAGGAUGACAAAUCUGCUGCAACUAUUGUGUCUAAUGGAGAAGAUAAGCAAAUCCCACAAACUAGGGCAGCUGAAAAGUCUAGAAUGAGACAAGGAUCUACCAUCUACUUUGACAUUCAGAACUAAACAAAAUAUGGCUAAAUAACUAUGAAACUGAAAAAUAUGAUAAUUUGCUGCUGCAAGAUGGAUUGCGUGUUUCCUGUUAAAAGCUUGUCAGUGGGACAAUACAGAAGAAAAACAGUUGACUCUAAGCAGUUUUUGAAUGUUUUGUCACUAACAAAAUAUUCUAAGGAGUCUCAAUUGGGAGGAUAUGUCAUCUAAAAGACUGUCUUCAGCUGUUCCUCUGGUGUCCAGAAAUCCUCUGUUUACCACACUUUGAAAAAAACUUCUGGACUGAGCAACAUUCUCUCAACACAAGCAUUUCUUCAGGAAGCCCAUGGAUAAAUAGGAGAUGAUGGAGACAAAAAUGCAUGGAGUCUGAGCUCUGAAACUGUCAUCAGUUCUGACCACAUUAUAGACAGAGAGGUAUGCCAGAAAGGAUUAUAUUCCUGUUACAUAUAACGGGACUGUUAGUGUUAAUUCAUUCACAAAAUAGGAAAAGUCUUCCAGAGAAAGAAGUCUCCUGCACACAAUGAAAUACUAGAUUGAAAUGAAGAUAUAUAUAUAUAUAUAUAUAUAUAUAUAUAUAAUGUAUAAUU